rnacentral:rRNA from 1 species
UACGUAGGUGGCAAGCGUUGUCCGGAAUUAUUGGGCGUAAAGCGCGCGCAGGCGGUUUCUUAAGUCUGAUGUGAAAGCCCCCGGCUCAACCGGGGAGGGGCAUUGGAAACUGGGGGACUUGAGUGCAGGAGAGGAGAGCGGAAUUCCACGUGUAGCGGUGAAAUGCGUAGAGAUGUGGAGGAACACCAGUGGCGAAGGCGGCUCUCUGGUCUGUAACUGACGCUGAGGCGCGAAAGCGUGGGGAGCAAACAGG